GCGAGUGUUACCGAGAGGCCAAAGGUGCCCGACUCAAGAUCGGUUCCCGUAGGGGUUCGCAGGUUCGAAUCCUGCCACUCGCA
rnacentral:tRNA from 1 species